UACAGAGGGUGCGAGCGUUGUCCGGAAUCACUGGGCGUAAAGGGCGCGUAGGCGGUCUGCUAAGCGUGCGGUGAAAGCUCGGGGCUCAACCCCGAGUCGGCCGUGCGAACUGGUGGACUGGAGCAUGUCAGAGGCAGGCGGAAUUCCGGGUGUAGCGGUGGAAUGCGUAGAGAUCCGGAAGAACACCGGUGGCGAAGGCGGCCUGCUGGGACAUUGCUGACGCUGAGGCGCGACAGCGUGGGGAGCAAACAGG
rnacentral:rRNA from 1 species